GCCACGAUUGUGAGGCCUCUCAAGCCACGUGGAACUGUCACGAAAUCAAGGCCAUGAUGAUUAAAUGGCAACCAAGGUCACACAACUAGUUAGUGGUAAGCCAAAGUGAGAAGACAGGUUUCCUGAGAGAGAGGCUAGAAGAUAAGCUCUGCACCACUCUGCCUGGAUUAGAGAUCCUGUUACGCCAACUUUACACUGUCUCCUGUGGGACUUUUCCACACCUGGUCCAGCCUAACUCUCCAGUCUCUUCAGAGCUUAAAAUAGUCCAGUUGCCAGACAACUGUUUAUCUACUUUGAGCCCCAUGGAACGAGGAGUGGGGUGAAAGUGAGUCUUGGAAAACAGAAUAGAUUCCGCCAACCUUCCAGCCAGAGGAGGCCUCGUGACCCAGUUCUACCCAAACAGACCCAAACAGAAGCACCUGACAAGAAAGUGGUUAUGUUUCUAGAGCUGCAUCAGCUAUUUAUAACCAUGAUGGCAAGUCCCAGAGAACUGGUCUUGCCAUCACUGAGCAGUUGAACCAA
rnacentral:lncRNA from 1 species